rnacentral:rRNA from 1 species
GAUGAACGCUGGCGGCGUGCCUAAUACAUGCAAGUCGAGCGAACGGACGAGAAGCUUGCUUUUCUGAUGUUAGCGGCGGACGGGUGAGUAACACGUGGAUAACCUACCUAUAAGACUGGGAUAACUUCGGGAAACCGGAGCUAAUACCGGAUAAUAUUUUGAACCGCAUGGUUCAAAAGUGAAAGACGGUCUUGCUGUUACUUAUAGAUGGAUCCGCGCUGCAUUAGCUAGUUGGUAAGGUAACGGCUUACCAAGGCAACGAUGCAUAGCCGACCUGAGAGGGUGAUCGGCCACACUGGAACUGAGACACGGUCCAGACUCCUACGGGAGGCAGCAGUAGGGAAUCUUCCGCAAUGGGCGAAAGCCUGACGGAGCAACGCCGCGUGAGUGAUGAAGGUCUGCGGAUCGUAAAACUCUGUUAUUAGGGAAGAACAUAUGUGUAAGUAACUGUGCACAUCUUGACGGUACCUAAUCAGAAAGCCACGGCGAACUACGU